UACGAAGGUCCCAAGCGUUAUCCGGAUUUACUGGGUUUAAAGGGUGCGUAGGUGGACUUUUAAGUCAGUGGUGAAAGCCUGUAGCUUAACUAUAGAAUUGCCAUUGAAACUGAAAGUCUUGAGUACAGUUGAGGUGAGCGGAAUGUAUCAUGUAGCGGUGAAAUGCUUAGAUAUGAUACAGAACACCGAUUGCGAAGGCAGCUCACUAAACUGCAACUGACACUGAGGCACGAAAGCGUGGGGAGCGAACAGG
rnacentral:rRNA from 1 species